GACGAACGCUGGCGGGAGGCUUAACACAUGCAAGUCGAGGGGCAGCAUAGAGUAGCAAUACUUUGAUGGCGACCGGCGCACGGGUGAGUAACGCGUAUGUAACCUACCCUGUACAGGGGGAUAGCCCGGAGAAAUUCGGAUUAAUACCCCAUAAUGAUAUCGAGAGGCAUCUUUUGAUAUUUAAAGCUUCGGCGGUACGGGAUGGGCAGGCGUGACAUUAGCUAGUUGGUAAGGUAACGGCUUACCAAGGCUGCGAUGUCUAGGGGCCAUGAGAGGGUGAUCCCCCACACUGGUACGGAAACACGGACCAGACUCCUACGGGAGGCAGCAGUGAGGAAUAUUGGUCAAUGGGCGUAAGCCUGAACCAGCCAUCCCGCGUGAAGGAAGAAGGCGCUAUGCGUCGUAAACUUCUUUUCCAGAGGAAUAAAAUUUUGUACGCGUACAGAACUGAAGGUACUCUGGGAAUAAGCAUCGGCUAACUCCGUGCCAGCAGCCGCCGUAACAC
rnacentral:rRNA from 1 species